GGCCAGACUCCUACGGGAGGCAGCAGUGGGGGAUAUUGCACAAUGGGGGGAACCCUGAUGCAGCGACGCCGCGUGGGUGAAGAAGUAUUUCGGUAUGUAAAGCCCUAUCGGCAGGGAAGAAAUUGGACGGUACCUGACUAAGAAGCCCCGGCUAACUACGUGCCAGCAGCCGCGGUAAUACGUAGGGGGCAAGCGUUAUCCGGAUUCACUGGGUGUAAGGGGAGCGUAGACGGCCAUGCAAGCCUGGAGUGAAAGCCCGGGGCCCAACCCCGGGACUGCUCUGGGAACUGUACGGCUGGAGUGCGGGAGGGGCAGGCGGAAUUCCUGGUGUAGCGGUGAAAUGCGUAGAUAUCAGGAGGAACACCGGCGGCGAAGGCGGCCUGCUGGACCGCGACUGACGUUGAGGCUCGAAAGCGUGGGGAGCAAACAGGAUUAGAUACCCCGGUA
rnacentral:rRNA from 1 species